rnacentral:rRNA from 1 species
UGAGGAAUAUUGGUCAAUGGACGCAAGUCUGAACCAGCCAAGUAGCGUGCAGGAUGACGGCCCUAUGGGUUGUAAACUGCUUUUAUAUGGGGAUAAAGUGGGGAACGUGUUCCCUUUUGCAGGUACCAUAUGAAUAAGGACCGGCUAAUUCCGUGCCAGCAGCCGCGGUAAUACGUAGGUGGCAAGCGUUGUCCGGAAUUAUUGGGCGUAAAGCGCGCGCAGGUGGUUUAGAAAGUCUGAUGUGAAAGCCCACGGCUCAACCGUGGAGGGUCAUUGGAAACUAAUAAACUUGAGUGCAGGAGAGAAAAGUGGAAUUCCUAGUGUAGCGGUGAAAUGCGUAGAGAUUAGGAGGAACACCGGUGGCGAAAGCGGCUUUUUGGCCUGCAACUGACACUGAGGCGCGAAAGCGUGGGGAGCAAACAGG